AGCAGCCGCGGUAAUUCCAGCUCCAAUAGCGUAUAUUAAAGUUGUUGCAGUUAAAAAGCUCGUAGUUGAAUUUCGAGACCGGCUUACUGGUCGUGCUUUUGUGCGUACUGGUAUAAUCGGUUUCUCCUUUCUGACGAACUUUAAUGCCAUUAAUUUGGUGUUUUAGGGAAUCAGGACUGUUACUUUGAAAAAUUAGAGUGUUUAAAGCAGGCUCACGCUUGAAUACAUUAGCAUGGAAUAACGGAAUAGGACGUUUGAUUCUAUUUUGUUGGUUUCUAGGAUCGACGUAAUGAUUAAUAGGGAUAGUUGGGGGCAUUAGUAUUCAAUUGUCAGAGGUGAAAUUCUUGGAUUUAUUGAAGACUAACUACUGCGAAAGCAUUUGCCAAGGAUGUUUUCAUUAAUCAAGAACGAAAGUUAGGGGAUCGAAGACGAUCAGAUACCGUCGUAGUCUUAACCAUAAACUAUGCC
rnacentral:rRNA from 1 species